rnacentral:rRNA from 1 species
AGUGAACGCUGGCGGUAGGCCUAACACAUGCAAGUCGAACGGCAGCACAGUAAGAGCUUGCUCUUACGGGUGGCGAGUGGCGGACGGGUGAUGAAUACAUCGGAAUCUACUUUUUCGUGGGGGAUAACGUAGGGAAACUUACGCUAAUACCGCAUACGACCUACGGGUGAAAGCAGGGGAUCUUCGGACCUUGCGCGAUUGAAUGAGCCGAUGUCGGAUUAGCUAGUUGGCGGGGUAAAGGCCCACCAAGGCGACGAUCCGUAGCUGGUCUGAGAGGAUGAUCAGCCACACUGGAACUGAGACACGGUCCAGACUCCUACGGGAGGCAGCAGUGGGGAAUAUUGGACAAUGGGCGAAAGCCUGAUCCAGCCAUACCGCGUGGGUGAAGAAGGCCUUCGGGUUGUAAAGACCUUUUGUUGGGAAAGAAAAGCAGCAGGUUAAUACCCCGCUGUUCUGACGGUACCCAAAGAAUAAGCACCGGCUAACUUCGUG